rnacentral:tRNA from 1 species
GCCCAGGUGGCGGAAUUGGCAGACGCGCUAGGUUGAGGGCCUAGUUUCCUUUACAGGAAGUGGAGGUUCGACCCCUCUCCUGGGCACCA